AGGCGUACACCUCACAAGAGGAUAGCAGUCAUCUCCCUCCCAGUCCACCCAGUCCGUGGGGCUUCUGGCACCUGUUCCAGUUGGUUUUUGUUGGCAGGAACCUGUAGAGUUAAACCAUCUCAACAGACAGAUUUCCAGUCUUCCACUUAACCAGUGAAGGUUUGAAAUUUUGGCAUGUCAUUGCUGCAGUUUCUGCAGCCCCAUCUCAGCAAAUGACAGCCCCUCAGGUGGAGGCCAUGAGCAUCCCUAGCCUGGGUUCAGCUCCAGAAAGCAUCCAAGUCAUGAUUUUGGCAAUCCUUGAGAAGUGCAGCUGUCAGGAAGUCUCUGGCUACAAAAUCCCCAGUGGAGCUAAAACCCAGGCCAGGUUGUUGUCCCAGGUUUGAAAGCCGUGCAGACCUCUGCGAAGAGCCACAUGCCUCAACAAAGAAAGCAUAAGGACUCCAUCCUCUGAAAUGCGAGUACACAAUGAAUCAUUUUAAUGAAACAAAAGACAUUCAUUUUCAAAAAAUUAUACAGAAGCAACACAGUGGAAAAUUUUAUUAGGAAAAAGAUGAUGUGCAUCAAGCUUCAGUCCCAUGUCAUUAUGACAGCAAAAUAAUUUACUGGUAUGGUAACUUUAUGCAUAUAUGUAUCUAGUGUAAAUAUGUGCGUACAAGAACAUGAAUCAGUGAAGUAGAGAUUUUUUUAGAUACAUAUACAUACCUCCACACAUCUAUACAUAUCCAAAAUGGUAACGGUGUACAUUACUCUAGAGAUGUGACAGAUUUUAUUCCCAAAAUAGCUUUGUCAGGGAUGAGUGCUACUCAACCAGUCGGGGUUAGGGGCAUACAAAAGCAACGCCGAUCACUUGGGUCUACAGCUGGGAUGAAAAAUCUGUUUGCUUGCCUACAGGUGAAAAAUACAAAGUAUGCUAAAAGCUGGUUGGUUGCAUUUACUGAGCCACGGGCACCACAAUCUAUUUUAAUGAACAUUUCCAGUGAAAUCUCUGUAUUUACUGGCUUUGACAGAUGAAGAAUAUUGCACAAGCUAUUGUGUGCCUGUGCAU
rnacentral:lncRNA from 1 species